rnacentral:rRNA from 1 species
UAAGCGGAGNAAAAGAAACUAACAAGGAUUCCCCUAGUAACUGCGAGUGANGCGGGAAAAGCUCAAAUUUAAAAUCUGGUGGCCUCUGGUCAUCCGAGUUGUAAUUUAGAGAAGCGUCUUCCGCGCUGGACCAUGCACAAGUCUCCUGGAAUGGAGCGUCAUAGAGGGUGAGAAUCCCGUCUUUGGCAUGGAUGCACCAGGGCUUCUGUGAUGCGCUCUCAAAGAGUCGAGUUGUUUGGGAAUGCAGCUCAAAAUGGGUGGUGAACUCCAUCUAAAGCUAAAUAUUGGCGAGAGACCGAUAGCGAACAAGUACCGUGAGGGAAAGAUGAAAAGCACUUUGGAAAGAGAGUGAAACAGUACGUGAAAUUGUUGAAAGGGAAACGCUUGAAGUCAGUCGCGUCGACCGAGACUCAGCCUCGCCUUGGCUUGGUGUACUUCUCGGCUGACGGGUCAGUGUCAAUUUUGGGCCUCGGAUAAUGACAAGGGAAAGGUGGCACCUUUAUAGGUGUGUUAUAGUCUCCUGUCGGAUGCGGGGGUCGGGAUUGAGGAACUCAGCACGCGCCUUUUGGUGUCGGGGCUUCGGCCUACGCUACGUGCUUAGGAUGCUGGCAUAAUGGCUUUAAACGACC